GAUGAAGAACGUAGCGAAAUGCGAUAAGUAGUGUGAAUUGCAGAAUUCAGCGAAUCAUCGAAUCUUUGAACGCACAUUGCGCCCCUUGGUAUUCCGGGGGGCAUGCCUGUUCGAGCGUCAUUUCAACCCUCAAGCUCUGCUUGGUAUUGGGCUCCGUCCUCCUCGGACGCGCCUCAAAGACCUCGGCGGUGGCGUCUUGCCUCAAGCGUAGUAGAAACACCUCGCUUUGGAGUGCAUGGCGUCGCCCGCCGGACGAAACCUUUUGUAUUUUCUCAAAGGUUGACCUCGGAUCAGGUAGGGAUACCCGCUGAACUUAAGCAUAUCAAUAAGCGGAGGA
rnacentral:misc_RNA from 1 species